rnacentral:lncRNA from 1 species
GGGGGUCUAUCGGAAACAACCUCUUUACUUCUUCGGAGGUAGUGGUAUGGACUGCGUAUAUUCUACUUCUUCGGAGGUAGAGGUAUGUGGGAAUAUACUGGGGUUUUUGUUGUUGCUGUUGUUGUCUUAUAUGAGACCUACUUAAAUUUUUUUCACAAGUAUUUUUUAUAGUAAUUUUGGUAUAUCACCUCUUAUUAGUUAUUAUAAGUCAUUUAAGACAUGUCUGCUUCACUGCUUCAAUCGUGAUUUUACUAUAUCACCC